GGGGGGAAAGCGCGUGUAGGCGGUCCUGCAAGUGGCGCGUGAAAGCGCCCGGCUCAACCGGGCGAGGACGUGACCGAACUGCGGGGCUAGAGGCAGGUAGAGGCGUGUGGAAUUCCGGGUGUAGUGGUGAAAUGCGUAGAGAUCCGGAGGAACACCAGUGGCGAAGGCGACACGCUGGGCCUGACCUGACGCUGAGAGGCGAAAGCAUGGGGAGCGAACGG
rnacentral:rRNA from 1 species